UACGUAGGUGGCAAGCGUUGUCCGGAUUUACUGGGCGUAAAGAGCGCGCAGGCGGUCGUUCAAGUCGGAUGUGAAAGCCCCCGGCUCAACUGGGGAGGGUCAUUCGAUACUGAUCGACUCGAAGGCAGGAGAGGGUAGUGGAAUUCCCGGUGUAGUGGUGAAAUGCGCAGAUAUCAGGAGGAACACCUGCGGCGAAGGCGGGUUGCUGGGCCGACACUGACGCUGAGGCGCGAAAGCGUGGGGAGCAAACAGG
rnacentral:rRNA from 1 species